GCACUGGUGUGGGACAGACAGACAGACAGACCAGUGGGUACACAGCAGGGCUCCGCAUGGUAACAGAGACAGGGAAUCUCACCGCCCAGCAUCCUUCCUUCUGCACCCUAACUGUCCAUAGGCUGGCCCAGGACACACCCGCUCCUUGGAAUCUGGAGCCUGCGCUGGGGUUGAGCAGAGGUGACUGGAGGGAAGGCACUGUCUGGCUUCUCGGCCUCAGUUCUCCUGGCUCCAUUAUGAGAGGGUUCCAGCCAUGACCUGAUGGGUGCUCAGGUUCCAUCUGUCCCAGAUUAGUGACACAGAGAGUUUGCCAUGGACCAAUCAAUGCAAUUUCCAGGGCCACCACACUGAGUCCAGAUGUUCCCCUCAGAAAGCCUGCUGAGCUGCCCAGAAUACCAGGGACAGCUGUUGACCCCAAAUGCCCUGGUGUUCCCCUGCCAAGAUCCCGUAGGCAGUGGUUCCCUGAUGUGGUGACCCCACAUCACCCAGGCGUGCCUUGAACCUGAGGUAUGGGGAGGCCCCUACCCCAGGCUCACCCUAGUCUGGUUACCAGACACAGCCGAUGAAGGCUGGCACGAGGCCACCCGCCUGCUCACCAGCCCUGAGGAGAGGAGAGGCUGGCUUGGCACAGGGGAUCAGAGGACGCUCUUCCUUUGCAGAGGCCCCUGAAGAUAAGUGGGCUCCCAGCAGGUCCUAACACCUGCUUCUCUGUCCCUGGAUAUGGAUGGGACAGAACAAUUGGGUGAACACUGAUCUGAUGCAUCACGACGGGGCAGCUAUAGGGAAGGACACUGCCCCAGCCAGGAGCAGAAAGCGCAGACUCCCUUAUAUCCAGCAUAGUGUUCCAUCUGCUCCUGCUAUCUCCUCAGGGCAAUGUGGGAAGCACCCCUUGCUCACGGCUACUUUGGGGAUCCUCCUUAUUUAUCCUCCUCCCCUCCCAUUGUCCAACUUGGUCCUUGACUUAGGCUCUGUCCACACAGCUACCCUAAGACCAACGUUAUUCUCAAAGUACAUGAAUUAUUGGGCUGCUCUGACCACAGCCAGACCUCCAGCUAGGCCUAGUCAGUUCAGAGGGGAUCAUCACUUCAGAGGUACCUAGUGUCUCUACCUGCUUCCCCUAAUGAUACUUGCUGGUCCUCAAGCUCCGCCGCACACCCUCUAGGCAAUCGCAGCCCUACCUCCCUUCCUCCUUACCUUCAGGGUGAUGGGAAUUGGUGGGCACCACAGUGUGUGUGUGUGUGUGUGUGCGUGUGUGUAAGAACUCUGGAGUUCCCAAGCCCAUGCUUGAGAAGGACAGCAGCUGGGGCCUCACCUCACAGAGCCCUUGGACUUUCAAGUCUUGAAUUUGUAACCCAUCCAUCCCAGAAUCUGAGCCCAGAUAGGACAUAUGUGUUGGGGUAUUGGACACUAUAGAACAUCACAAUGGAGGCUCUGGGCUCCAGGCCCCAUCUGGUACUCUACUACAAUUCCUAAGCAUUCAGAAUUGACCUAUGCGGGAACCAAAACCACAGACAGCUUGAAACCCUUGGUUACCCAGUCCUGUCCCGUCCUCUGCCUUCCCCAGGGAUGCUUAAAGAUGGUUCUGGACUCCCCUUAUCUUGCACAGGACAGAUGCUGUUGCUAUGGGAUGGCGAGGAGGAGGAAACGGCAUGUAGAUGUUGAUGUGCGUUAACAGAAGCUGGCGUCUAGGUAUGACUGUGUCUGUGGUGUUAGGAAGGCUGGGGAUGCUGACAUACCUCAGGGAGUGACGUGACUCCUCAGGCAGGGUGAGGAGCAGCUGAGGUGCAGUUACCUCGAUGUAACCAUCCGAGGUUACACAGGGAACCCCUCCCACCAUGUGGGCAGAGGACCCUCUCAUCCUCCUACUCACUGCUUCUCUGCCUAUCCAUCGCUUGCCUGUGAAUUGAGGCUACUCACGCCUUAGGCUCCUUGCCCUGGACUCCUGAGAUGGACCAGUUUGCACCCCUUCCCUUUGCAGAGUCCUCAGCCCCAUGUCUAACACUCCUUAAACUCGGGCCCCAAGCUGGAAAACUCUUGUCAACUUCAGUUUCUUCCUCUCGGGGGCUUCCUGGACAGCCCACACUCAGGACCACUGCGCAUCUGAGGCUUCCCAUUGGCCAGCUCCAUGCAGAGAACCAACCGCUUUUUCACGCCACGCCCACAGGUAGUAUUGCACUGAAAGGGGCCAGACAGGAUGGGUCAGUGACCCCGAAGCCCAGAAAACCAGAACCUGACACAGCACCCCUGGUGGCCAAGGCUCCGUCAAUGAUAUCUGGGUAAAAGGCAAGGGCUUUCAACAGGGGAGAUUGGCUGACGACUCUUUGUUCGGUAACCGUUUGGCCCCAUCCAGAUUUGAUCAAAAGCAAUCAGGCCCAAACCAUCUGUUUUGAAACAAAUUGGCUAAUGUAAUUUGGCCAAGGAUGAUCAGGCCAAAAUCAAUUCUGCAGAAAGCAAUUUGGCCCAAGAUUAUUUAGUUAACAGUGGCCUGCCUGAAAAACACUGACUGAGAGCAAUUGUCUGAAAUGGCAAGUUAGUGACAAGGACAUGUUGGGGCAGAAGACAAAUGGGUUGUGAUGGCGAAAGGUCAUCAAGACCCUGUGGGCUGAAAGUGUGUGCAACCAACACACCCUGUCUCUUUGUGUCCACCAGAGCAGGGCUCAGAGAGAAACUCUGCGGGGGUCCUGCAGACAUCCCCGGGGGAGGAGACAGGAAGCGGCCUUACUAUCUCUUUGACCUUUUUUUCCAAGUUAAUUAUUAGUUAAUUGUUCUUCAUAGCUUGUCAUGAAUUCCUCCCUGUGACCUGCUGUUGACACUCGGGCCACUUCUCCCCAUCCCCUCUGUGAUCCAGAGAGAGGCUCCACGCAGACCCCAGGAUACUCACCCUCUCCCAGUCUUGAGCCAGCCAGUGGGCCGGGCAGUUCUUGUCCCCACAGGGGUGGAUGGCCAGAGGCUUCGUCUCCAUCUGGCACUGAGACUCCGGGACUACCCGUCCAUCGCUGGUCUUACAGUACACGUGCCUGAUCGUCCGGCCCUGCCCGCAGCUUCCGCUGCACUGGAAUAAGGAGCCACAGGGCCCGGUUGAAGCAGGGACCAUCCCGCAAGCCCCCGACCCGCAUCAUCCCCGAAAAUAACAUGUUCAGUGCAAAACACACACAGAGAAAAGCACAGCUCAAAAGGUCACCCGAGCCCCCGCCGCAAGAGAGGACCCUACCUAGCAGAUGAGCAGCCCUGUUCCAGAUGAGAGAAACAGAUGGAGACAGAGACAGGAAGGGAAAGCCUGGUGCUGGGGUCACACAGUUUCUCGUCCUCGGAGCAGCGGAUGUCUCUGGUCACGACGCUGCGCUCUCCACACUUGGCUGUACACUGCGAGGAAGCCGGGGUGGGAAGCCUCAUGACGGGUCUGUUCUCGGGCACGGGCCUCCACCCCAGCAGCGGCACACUCUCACCUCUGACCACUCAGACAUCUCCCACUGUGGCCCACAGGCCGGGUUGCGGCAUAUCUUGCGCUCCUCGGGCCGCACGGCCUCCGUGGCCUCACACAGGUCGCUGUACACGGAGCUGUCAAAGCCAGGGGACAGCAUCUUCCAGCAGCGCACGAUGCGGAACUGAUGGCCCUCACCACAGGUUCAUACUCCAGUGUCCCGGAGCCCCAGACCUCAUUUGCCCUGCGGGGUCACACAGGUGACCGUGGCCCCUUCUGGACUCUGAUUCUUCGUGGCAAUGGUGGAAGUCCAGCUCUACACCCAGAGAAGGCGUCUCCAGUGUGCAGGGUGACCACCCAUCUCCAACCCUAUGCUGUGUGGGGUUAUAAAAGACUGUGUUCCUCCAUGCAGGUCCUCUGAGAAGACAUACUUGGAGAAGAAUCUAAGUCAAGUGCAGGCCAGCUCUGUGGUCUUUUGUUCCAGAAAGGAACAAAUGCUCAGAUGUAGCAGCCGGAAGAAAAGAAGGAAUGUGGCCAUGUUGGGGAGCCAGAAAUACAUGGCUCCUUGGAAGCAACACCAAGGCUCCGCUUCUGCCUUGAAGACAAGAUAAGAGGCAUGGGGGCUGGAAAGAUGAGGCUCCACUCAUAUUUCAGGGAUGUGGGUCUUCCCUAGCUUAUAGAGAUCCUAGCCUUGUAGGUCAGCCCAGGUACAAAGACAGCCCUCUAGAAUAGGGAGCAAUGUGGAAAACACAUUGUGGUGGAAAGUAUUUAGUGACCAUCCCAUGUGCUCUGCUCUGCUCCCUACAUGGUCCCACAGCUUAGCUCAUAACAGGAGCAAAGCAGAGCGUGUGCGUGUGUGUGCACACGCACACACACACACGCGCACACACACACACACACACACACACACACACACACACACGCUCAUUCUGUCACCCAGCUGGGUGCUCAAGGACAGGUACCUGGGCUGGCACUCCCUCCCAGCGCAGAAUUCGUGGACAGGCUCAGGACGGGUCAGGGCAUCACAGUAGCUGUCAUCCACCUCCACACCAUCAUAGCGAACACACAUGGCAUACGUGGACAUGACUCCUAGGUUUGGAGCAACGCGAAAGUCCGUAAACUGUGUGGUUAACAGCAAAUACCUUACAGUCUUGGAUGGGUCACAUGACCACUCAGAGAUCUCUGCUUCUUGGGUUGGGGAUAGUAAUAACCUAGAUCUGGAGGUGGGGAAGCUCUGUGGACCAGAGUCUCAGGAUCUGACCUCUGACCUCUUUCUUUGCCCAGCUAAGGCAUCUCGCUCACCUGCUACAAACCUAGAUGAGCCUUUUGGAGGCAGAGUAAGAUACACCCAGGUAUUCUGAUGUGCAUCUGUCUGUUAAACCCCACUGUAGGAUAUGAGCAGGCAAGCAGGUAGGAAAAAACAAAAACAUUGCAGCACUUGAUAGCCCUGCUCAAGAUAUCAGACUAGGAGCCCCAGCUCUUACUGAAGAUCUCCUAACUAGCACCUCCAUGUCUUUAACUACCUCUGUGGCUUUUCUGGGAUUCCUGAAUUCUAAAAUCACUUGGGAAUAGGGAGGGAUACACACAUUAAAAAUAAAAAGACUUCUCCCAA